rnacentral:miRNA from 1 species
CUUUGUCAGGACUCAAGGCUA